rnacentral:tRNA from 1 species
CGGUAUAUGGCUCAAGGGAAGAGCAUCGGUCCGAAAGGCCGAAGGUGCGGGUUCGAGUCCCGUUAUACCAC